GAUGAACGCUGGCGGCGUGCCUAAUACAUGCAAGUCGAGCGAACGGACGAGAAGCUUGCUUCUCUGAUGUUAGCGGCGGACGGGUGAGUAACACGUGGAUAACCUACCUAUAAGACUGGGAUAACUUCGGGAAACCGGAGCUAAUACCGGAUAAUAUUUUGAACCGCAUGGUUCAAAAGUGAAAGACGGUCUUGCUGUCACUUAUAGAUGGAUCCGCGCUGCAUUAGCUAGUUGGUAAGGUAACGGCUUACCAAGGCAACGAUGCAUAGCCGACCUGAGAGGGGGAUCGGCCACACUGGAACUGAGACACGGCCCAGACUCCUAGGGGAGGCAGCAGGAGGGAAUCGUCCGCAAUGGGGGAAAGCCUGACGGGGCAACGCCGGGUGAGUGAUGAAGGUUUUGGGUUCGUAAAACUCUGUUUUUGGGGAAAAAAAUAUGUGGAAGUAACUGUGCACAUCUUGACGGUACCUAAGCAGAAAGCCACGGCUAACUACGU
rnacentral:rRNA from 1 species